rnacentral:rRNA from 1 species
GAUGAACGCUAGCGGCAGGCCUAACACAUGCAAGUCGAGGGGUAGCAGGAUUAAGCUUGCUUAAUUGCUGACGACCGGCGCACGGGUGCGUAACGCGUAUGCAACCUACCUUAUACUGGGGUAUAGCCCGGAGAAAUUCGGAUUAAUCCCCCAUAGUACUAAUGAAUCGCAUGGUUUAUUAGUUAAAGCAUUGCGGUAUAAGAUGGGCAUGCGUCCUAUUAGCUAGAUGGUGAGGUAACGGCUCACUAUGGCUACGAUAGGUAGGGGGCCUGAGAGGGUGGUCCCCCACACUGGUAAUGAGACACGGACCAGACUCCUACGGGAGGCAGCAGUGAGGAAUAUUGGUCAAUGGGCGCAAGCCUGAACCAGCCAUGCCGCGUGCAGGAAGAAUGCCCUAUGGGUUGUAAACUGCUUUUAUUUGGGAAUAAACCUCUUUACGUGUAGAGAGCUGAAGGUACCAAAUGAAUAAGCACCGGCUAACUCCGUGCCAGCAGCCGCCGUAA